UUAGACUUCAUGUACCCGAGGGACUCUCGCACGGGAAGGUUCCCUCCCCACCCCCAACUCUUCUGACCCUUCUUUUCUACAGGGAAGAGUUUGGCUCAAUAUGGGAGAGAGCCUUCUAGAAGUCAAUAUGCCUGAGAGUGGUGAGCCGGAAACUGGCUAACCACAGCAAGGAGCCAGUGUGGAGGGGAUUCCGAGACAGACGGGGUUUGAUCCGAAUGAUCUCCCUUCAAGUCUAGAGGCUGCCACGUCAAGGGAAGAUUCUGCAGGGUCAUGGUGCAUUCCUACCUGGUGUUCCCACAGCUGCGCUCCCAGAACAUCUACCGGCAUGGAAAUACCCUUUAGGAUUGUUGUGCUGGAUCUUUCCCCAUAGUAUUAAGCCUUUGAGGUGCCGUAAGGCUCCCCUGCCCUCCUGUUUUGCUGGGAGGGGAGGAUGGUCCACAUCUGUCGUUCUGCUUUCUGAUCAGCCCUCUUUUUCAUGUUUCUUAUUCCUUCCUGAGCCUCAAUUUGUUGCUCUUGGCACAAGAGUUUGUGUGGAUUUGUUCUUAACAAUUACCCUCUGCCUUGAGAAGCAUGUGGAAUGUUUUAGGGAUAUUUUUAUAAAUCUUGGGCCAUAUUUUUAUGGCUGGAAAUUAGCCAGGGAACUGCAAAAGUACGGGCUUGCUUAUUCAGCUUUACAUCCUGAAGACAAGCUGCCCCCCUGCCUCCUACUUUUGUACCCUCGCUCUUGGGACCAUGUGUCCUUCCUUGGACUGAGUCCGCCCUCCCUGACGUGGACACCGUGGUUACUUGCAGCUCCGACACAAGAGUGAGCUCAGAGAAGUUGAUGAACCUGCCAAGGACCCCAGCUGAGAGACUGAAUUGGUGUGCAGAUUCCAAAGCUCACAUGCAUUCCAUUUUAUCUCAUCUUCAGUGGACUUUGAACAUGACUCAGCCUUCACCUUGACCCUUGGUGAAGUUACUGAGAAUCAAGACCCAGUGUGGCCAUGUCUCGGGAGCUUCCUGCAGCUCAGCAGCUGACUCCCAAACCUGGAGGUCCUCACUCUGCAUCCUGUACUCUGCCCUCUGGCUGAUCGUCAGCAUUCUCAGGCAGCCUGGCUCCCUGUAAAGUUGCUAAAACUUGUGUUUAUCAUCAUCUUCCAUCAUUUCUAAUUGUUUUCCUGUGUCCCUUUCUUUUGUAGAGGAUAUAAACUCAGCAUUUUAGCUUUUGAAAUAGAUUUGCUGUGCAGAUUCAUGGCUUUUGAGUGGCUUAAAAUGUAUUGUUCUGCGAGUCUCUCUGUACCAGUCACAGCAUUCACUGUGGGAAGCAGCAGGACGCCAGUGAUGCUGAUGUUUAUUUGACUUUAGGGGGCUUUAAGGCAUUCCUGGGACCAUAAGGAUUAGAAAUAUUCUGCCUCGUUGUCUUCAGAAGCUACUAAAAUAUCCUAGAAAUUAUCAUGUUUCAUAUUUCACAUUGCCUCUUGUAUCCUUACAUGGCCUUUAUCAAGAGCCUGGCAUAAACCACUGUAAUGGUUCUGAAAUAGGAACAUCAUGGUUCUCCAAUCACUAAAGCCCUUUCCACUCUGAGACUGGACAUUCAUUGCUGUUUUCUGCCUGCGCUCUGAUUUACAAGACUGUCUAUGAAUUCUCUGUUUAAUAUACAGUACGUGGUUGGUUGCCCUCAAUGCAUGAGACUUCCUGGUAUUUUUUCACGUGGUUAGAUGGAUAACAUUUGUUACAUAUUUAUUGUUUAGAUAUACUAGCAAUCCUCACUUUGCAGAAUAUCAGGUCUGCAUAUUGAAACCAUGUACUCACUUUGAACAAUCCUGUGGUAACUGUGAAGUGAGAACACAGGUCUGAUAGAUAUGCGUUUCAUUGGUAGUAUGCAUUGUGAAGACUAUCUGAAAUUGUUUUCAAAUAAAAUUUGGAUAAGGACUGUAACUACA
rnacentral:lncRNA from 13 species